UACGUAGGGUGCGAGCGUUGUCCGGAAUUAUUGGGCGUAAAGAGCUCGUAGGUGGUGUGUCGCGUCGGCCGUGAAAACCUGGGGCUCAACUCUGGGCGUGCGGUCGAUACGGGCAUCACUUGAGUUCGGCAGGGGAGACUGGAAUUCCUGGUGUAGCGGUGAAAUGCGCAGAUAUCAGGAGGAACACCGGUGGCGAAGGCGGGUCUCUGGGCCGAUACUGACGCUGAGGAGCGAAAGCAUGGGUAGCGAACAGG
rnacentral:rRNA from 1 species